GUCUAUGGCCAUGCUACCCUGAACAAGCCUGAUCCCGUCUGAUCUCAGAAGCUAAGCAGGGUCAGGCCUGGUUAGUACUUGGAUAAGAGACCACCUAGGAAGACCAAGUGCUAUAGGUG
rnacentral:rRNA from 1 species